CGAAGUUCUGAAAGAGAGGACACCCCGGCGUGGAUGAAGGCUUCGUCGUAGACUCUGUGUUAAGAGAACAAGUGCUAGUUGAAUAAGCUGCACCUGACGUACCUACCAGAAAGCACGGCUAACUACGUGCCAGCAGCCGCGGUAAUACGUAGGUGGCAGCGUUAUCGAGUUAUUGGGCGUAAAGCGCGCGCAGGUGGUUUCUUAAGUCUGAUGUGAAAGCCCACGGCUCAACCGUGAGGGUCAUUGGAAACUGGGAGACUUGAGUGCAGAAGAGGAAAGUGGGAUUCCAUGUGUAGCGGUGAAAUGCGUAGAGAUAUGGAGGAACACCAGUGGCGAAGGCGACUUUCUGGUCUGUAACUGACACUGAGGCGCGAAAGCGUGGGGAGCAAACAGGAUUAGAUACCCUGAUAGUCCACGCCGUAAACGAUGAGUGCUAAGUGUUAGAGGGUUUCCGCCCUUUAGUGCUGAAGUUAACGCAUUAAGCACUCCGCCUGGGGAGUACGGCCGCAAGGCUGAAACUCAAAGGAAUUGACGGGGGCCCGCACAAGCGGUGGAGCAUGUGGUUUAAUUCGAAGCAACGCGAAGAACCUUACCAGGUCUUGACAUCCUCUGACAACCCUAGAGAUAGGGCUUCCCCUUCGGGGGCAGAGUGACAGGUGGUGUAUGGUUGUCGUCAGCUCGUGUCGUGAGAUGUUGGGUUAAGUCCCGCAACGAGCGCAACCCUUGAUCUUAGUUGCCAUCAUUAAGUUGGGCACUCUAAGGUGACUGCCGGUGACAAACCGGAGGAAGGUGGGGAUGACGUCAAAUCGUCAUGCCCCUUAUGACCUGGGCUACACGCGUGCUACAAUGGACGGUACAAAGAGCUGCAAGACCGCGAGGUGGAGCUAAUCUCAUAAAACCGUUCUCAGUUCGGAUUGUAGGCUGCAACUCGCCUACAUGAAGCUGGAAUCACUAGUAAUCGCGGAUCAGCAUGCCGCGGUGAAUACGUUCCCGGGCCUUGUACACACCGCCCGUCACACCACGAGAGUUUGUAACACCCGAAGUCGGUGGGGU
rnacentral:rRNA from 1 species